ACCUCUGAACUAGCUGUGCCUGUGGCUGCGGCAAUGGCAGUGGCUGUGGUAUAGCUCCGACAACCUGACAAAGCAUCUGAGUCAUCUGCUCUAAGAAUGUCUGCUGUGCCCUACCAACGGCACCCUGUGAUGACUCCUCUCUCCUGUCCUGCUUCUAACUACGAGCAGGUACAUGACUCUCAACUACCUCUUCCACAUGUCUAGGGGAUUCGUGUUCCGAAGUAUCAGAAGCCAUCUAACCUAUAAA
rnacentral:misc_RNA from 1 species